GCCGCGACCGUGUGGGCGGCGCGUGAGUCUGAGCCCUGGUUACAGCCUCCUUUCUUCCUCUUCUAAAGUUCCAUAGAUUCCUUGUAGAAACUUUGGAACUGUUUUCCGAGCGAGAGAGCACGAGCAGGGGAAACAGCAGACGGAGAGGGAGAAGCAGGCUCCCUGCUGAGCAGGGAGCCCGAUGCAGAGCUUGAUCCCAGGACCCUGGGAUCAUGACCUGAGCUGAAAGCAGACACUUAACCAUCCGAGCCACCCAGGAGAUGCUUCAUCUCUCAUGAAUGGAUUAGUGUUCCUGUAAAAGAGACUCCAGAGAGCUCCCUCACCUUUCUACCAUGUGAGGAUACAGCAAAAGACAUCUUUUAUGAAUCAGGAAGAGGACUCUUACCGGACACCCAAUCUGCUGGCAUCUUGAUUUUGGACUUCCAGCUUCCAGAACUGUGAGAAUCUAGGGCUGUGACUGAAUACCAGAUAGGAAGAGGAUCAUAAAUUUCUGUUAUAUCUAGAUCUAGAUCAACAGGAGGACCUCUGGAUAUCACUGGAUUUUUUUCAAGAAGAUGAUCAGGUCAUUGGAGUACAUUCUAGAAUUCUCUGGAAGUUCAUCCCAGAUGUGACUCAAGAGGCGGGCUGACCUGGGUGAGGAGAUGGAAAUGCAUUCCUUCACAUUCAGUUCCUUGCUCUGGCGGUUAUCACCUCUAACAGGAUCUCUGUGCACUCAGCCCUCAGCCCAUGUCUCUCACAAACUGCAGAAGGCUGCAGGAAGGCUUUAAAAGACUGUCUUCAUAUGGUGUCAAGAUGGUUCCUGGAAGCUCCACACUUACUGGUUACUAAAGAUGAUGAUGUCACAGAAAGAUAGAAACCAUCUUGUCUUCAACAGCCUCCUCAACUCCUGAGAAGGAGGUU